rnacentral:rRNA from 1 species
GAUGAACGCUGGCGGCGUGCCUAAUACAUGCAAGUCGAGCGAACGGACGAGAAGCUUGCUUCUCUGAUGUUAGCGGCGGACGGGUGAGUAACACGUGGAUAACCUACCUAUAAGACUGGGAUAACUUCGGGAAACCGGAGCUAAUACCGGAUGAUAUUUUGAACCGCAUGGUUCAAAAGUGAAAGACGGUCUUGCUGUCACUUAUAGAUGGAUCCGCGCUGCAUUAGCUAGUUGGUAAGCUAACGGCUUACCAAGGCAACGAUGCAUAGCCGACCUGAGAGGGUGAUCGGCCACACUGGAACUGAGACACGGUCCAGACUCCUACGGGAGGCAGCAGUAGGGAAUCUUCCGCAAUGGGCGAAAGCCUGACGGAGCAACGCCGCGUGAGUGAUGAAGGUCUUCGGAUCGUAAAACUCUGUUAUUAGGGAAGAACAUAUGUGUAAGUAACUGUGCACAUCUUGACGGUACCUAAUCAGAAAGCCACGGCUAACUACGUG